AAUAAAUGGGACUAAAUACGAGCCGGUGACGUUAAACGAAUCGGAGGCACGCAUGAUCGCUAGAUAGUCGGAGCAGAGCAGAGCAUAGCAGAGCGUAGUUGAGGCUGCGACAAAGGCGUUUGCAACAUACGCGACUUGUAUACGUUGCUUUAUCUGUCUGUUAAUAAAAGCCAAUUGAAGGCAAGUGAAAUUACGCAUGCGCAAAUUGAAUUUGAUGUCUUUCAAUGCAAAUUGAAUUUUAACUGCCCCAAAACUACAACAACAACAACAAC